AUGAGCCUGCCUUCCAAGAGCUCAUCUUACCGAGAAAGUUUUCAGGACUCUAAAAAAUCAUCUGGCCUACCUGAAAUCCUGCACCAGUUCCACAUAGGAGAACUCCCGAGUUCUAGUGGGUUAAAUUCAUUUUGGAAUUUUAAGUUGGGAGAUUCCUCAGAGCCCAUCUGGAUCGGCCUUUGCAUGAUCAAGAAUCCUCUCUACAACUCAGCUCACUAUUUCCCCUUCCACAAUAGAAUAGAAGAUGAAGAAGGGGAGACUUUGAACAGCAAAGCAGUUUGCUCACCAUCCACAGCUAGUAAGUGGAAGAGGCAGGAUUUGAACGAAGGUCUUCCUGUGUUCAGAAUCCAGGGCAUCCCCCUACUCCACCUCCAAACAGCAGCCCAGUUUACUCAUAAUUGUUAUUUAUCGAGGACUAAGUUCUGGUUUGCCUCCUGGGACACGGAACAGAGGGCAUUGUGAAAAAUGGAACUCUGGCUUCUCCCGUGCCACCUUGCACAGGCUGUCUCCCCUGCCUGGAAUCCAUGACCUUUUUUCCCUGUUGGAAAUUGAGAUCCUGGCAGUCGCCUGCCCUGUGUGUACCCGUGAGAGGAGGGUAAGGGGGGACUCCCAGGCCUGGAGGAUGCCCUCCUGCAUCUCCUCCCAAAAAUCUCCUUCCACACUGAGGUCAGCUUCUGUCCGGCUCAUGAGACCCUCCCUCCUCCUCCCCUUGUUGGGGGGAUGCCACCCACGUCCCCCUCACUGCCUUGAGGACCCGUAGCAGUUUCUCUUUCCCCCUGGCUGGUGCCCAAUACCUGGAAGGCACGUGCUAAGCUCUUGCUUGCUUCAAUACGCUGGAAUCCAUGGGUGUGUAUGUGUGUGUCUAUGUCUGUGUGUGCAUGCAUGUGUCUGUGUGUACAUACAUAGACUUAGGCAGCCCUUAUUAAAUGCUUGCUUACAUAACAUGCUGGAUUCCAGGGUACACGUACGCGCACACACACACACACACACAAUGUACAUCUAAAGUUUCCCCCAGAAGCACAGUGAGAGUGUGAUGCUGCUAACACUUCCCUUUUAAUGACUCAUUCACUAGAAAGUUCUGAUUUAUAGUAUUUUUAAGACCUUUUUUUGGAUGACGUUUCAGCAUAGCUAGGUGGUUCAGUGGAUGAAGAGCCAAGCCUAGAGAUGGGAGGUCCUGGAUUCAAAUGUGACCUCAGAUACUUCCUAGCUGGGUGACCUUGGACAAGUCACUUAACCCGAAUUGCCUAGCCCUUACUGCUCUGCCUUGGAACCUCUACUUUGUAUUGAUUCUAAAACUAAAGAUAAAGGUUUAUAUAACUUUUUUCUAAAGAAAGAAAUUCUGAACCUAAACUCCAAAUAAAACCAAUGUUAUACAAAACUACGAAUCUCUA
rnacentral:lncRNA from 1 species